rnacentral:rRNA from 1 species
AGUGAACGCUGGCGGUAGGCCUAACACAUGCAAGUCGAACGGCAGCACAGUAAGAGCUUGCUCUUACGGGUGGCGAGUGGCGGACGGGUGAGGAAUACAUCGUAAUCUACUUUUUCGUGGGGGAUAACGUAGGGAAACUUACGCUAAUACCGCAUACGACCUACGGGUGAAAGCAGGGGAUCUUCGGACCUUGCGCGAUUGAAUGAGCCGAUGUCGUAUUAGCUAGUUGGCGGGGUAAAGGCCCACCAAGGCGACGAUCCGUAGCUGGUCUGAGAGGAUGAUCAGACACACUGGAACUGAGACACCGUCCAGACUCCUACGGGAGGCAGCAGUGGGGAAUAUUGGACAAUGGGCGAAAGCCUGAUCCCGCCAUACCGCGUGGGUGAAGAAGGCCUUCGGGUUGUAAAGCCCUUUUGUUGGGAAAGAAAAGCAGCAGGUUAAUACCCCGCUGUUCUGACGGUACCCAAAGAAUAAGCACCGGCUAACUUCGU